rnacentral:rRNA from 1 species
UGUAAACGAUGUCGAUUUGGAGUUUGUCUAGAAUGGGCUCCGAAGCUAACGCGAUAAAUCGACCGCUGGGGAGUACGGCCGCAAGGUUAAAACUCAAAUGAAUUGACGGGGGCCCGCACAAGCGGUGGAGCAUGUGGUUUAAUUCGAUGCAACGCGAAGAACCUUACCUGGUCUUGACAUCCAUAGAAUUCUGCAGAGAUGUGGGAGUGCCUUCGGGAACUAUGAGACAGGUGCUGCAUGGCUGUCGUCAGCUCGUGUUGUGAAAUGUUGGGUUAAGUCCCGCAACGAGCGCAACCCUUAUUCUUUGUUGCCAGCGAUUUGGUCGGGAACUCAAAGGAGACUGCCGUUGAUAAAGCGGAGGAAGGUGGGGACGACGUCAAGUCAUCAUGGCCCUUACGACCAGGGCUACACACGUGCUACAAUGGCGUAUACAAAGGGAAGCGAAGGUGCGAGCUGGAGCGGAUCUCAUAAAGUACGUCUAAGUUCGGAUUGGAGUCUGCAACUCGACUCCAUGAAGUCGGAAUCGCUAGUAAUCGUAGAUCAGAAUGCUACGGUGAAUACGUUCCCGGGCCUUGUACACACCGCCCGUCACACCAUGGGAGUGGGUUGCACCAGAAGUAGAUAGCUUAACCGCGAGGGGGGCGUUUACCACGGUGUGAUUCAUGACUGGGGUGAAGUCGUAACAAGGUAACCA